rnacentral:rRNA from 1 species
UACGAAGGGGGCUAGCGUUGUUCGGAAUUACUGGGCGUAAAGGGCGCGUAGGCGGCCUUCUAAGUCGGACGUGAAAUCCCCGGGCUCAACCCGGGAACUGCGUCCGAUACUGGAAGGCUUGAAUCCGGGAGAGGGAUGCGGAAUUCCAGGUGUAGCGGUGAAAUGCGUAGAUAUCUGGAGGAACACCGGUGGCGAAGGCGGCAUCCUGGACCGGCAUUGACGCUGAGGCGCGAAAGCCAGGGGAGCAAACGGG